AUGGGUUGCCAUGCUUUGGACUUGUGGAAGCAGCGGCCGAGAAGAUGUUGUUGUAGACCAGGAGUGUGGUCGGUUGCAAUUUGUGAAGCAAAUCGCUUGCUCGGAGAAGAAAAUCCCCCUUCUCCAAUGACCAGGCUAGGUUGGGCCGCCACUGAAGGUAGCCACAUGCUGAGGCUAAGACGCCAGCCCAGACCACCCACGACCCACCAACGCACGCGCAGCAGCCGGCCCUCCUACCAGGGCACAACAUCUCCGAAGGACCUCCUCGUCGCCUUCACCAGGGCACAACAUCUCCGAAGGACCUCCUCAUCGCCGACGGCACUGUGCAGGCUUUGCCCGGCGGUGUACCAUGGCGGCGUGGAGAGGAGAAGAGGUGAUCUAGGUUUUCUUAUGGAGGCGGCGCCCUUCCUCCCCGGUGCGCCCACAACUGGCUGGGCCUCGGCCUCUCAAAAAGGACUCGAACCUAGGAACUACAGGCUUAUUGCUCAAAAAAAAAGGAACUACAGGCUUGGAUCUAGCCUUGGGAUCGGAAGUGAUUUUGAUGGCAGGCCCAUGGCAUCGAGCGCGACGGCGAGGGGAUGUGGAGGCUGUGGCCCUCUGACAGAGGAGGCAACGAAAGUCGGCUUGGCUGACUUAGAGUGCGGCCUCGCGUCCCGCUCCGAACACAUCAACGCAAGCGCCGUGCUCCGCCGCCGCGAUCUCUGUGACGCCGUGGGCAUCAAUGAGAGCCUGAGGGCGCUCUGUGCCAGGAUGGACUCCACGGCGUUCUUCUGGUUCGUUGCAGCGCGACACAAGAGAUCGAUGCAGCCUGCGCUCAGGUGUUGCUUGGAUCCGGGCAAGUCCGUCAUGAACACGAUCACCGACGUGUUCCCGAUGGACCGACUGGAGUUGAAAAACCUGCAACCCUUGCCUGGGGCCUGGGCAUGCAUGCUCAUCCAGGAGGAAACCGUGCAGACGCUGCCCAGCCCGCCCAUACCCGGAGAUCAUGCUGGCACGACCCUUGCGGCGGGCUACGCAAACCAUGCGCAAGGACCUAGGCCGUCUCCCUCGCGUGACCCACUCGCCAAACUCGACGGCUCCCGCUCCGGCUCGCAAAGGUCGCUGCUCCUGCUGGCCGGCAACUGUCCGCUCGCCAACCUCGCAAUCAAGGCCGCAGCUUCCCGAAACAAAGUUUUUCAUCCAGUGACCAGUAAGUUAGCACGGCAACAGACAAAAUCAAAAUCCAAGAUGGUACUACUCCCGAGAGCUCUAACAGUCGAGCUUUGCCUGAAACCUAAUCAGGCCGGCCCGGUCGAGCUUUGGCUGAAACCUCAGAUACGUAAUCGGGCCGGCCCAGUCGAGCUUCGGCUGAAUCCUCACCACGCACAGGCCCAAGCUCGCCUCGCCCAGAUCCCUUCCACCACCCCCGCCUCCAUCGCCCAUCGUCGUUGUGUAUCGUGGACACCUCAUCGGUCAGUCCUCUUCCUCUACUCCUCCCCACCACAUCGUCUGUUCAUUGAUCUACCGAGCUGCUAA
rnacentral:rRNA from 1 species